CGAAUUACAAUUUUUUUUAAAACAUACGAAAUAUUUAAGCGACCAACUGAUUGGUCGCCAAAUUUUCAAAUUUAAUUUUUUUUAAUCAGGCGACCAAUCCAGUUGGUCGCAUUGUUUUAUUUAUAUAUUUUUUAUUUAGGUGAUUGAUAUGUGUUGGGUGGAAUUUGACACCAUAACAGGGGACGUUGAUGCCAUCUUGGAAAAUGCUCGAGCAACCCUAAUUUCUGAAUUGGGGGAGGGCGAUGGGUCACAGCCGUUGAACCGGUCGAACAGCCCCAGGCCGAGAAGGAAGAAAAACACACCAG
rnacentral:lncRNA from 1 species